UACGGAGGGUGCAAGCGUUAUCCGGAUUCACUGGGUUUAAAGGGUGCGUAGGUGGGUUGGUAAGUCAGUGGUGAAAUCUCCAGGCUUAACUUGGAAACUGCCAUUGAUACUAUAAUCUUGAAUUACUGGAGGUAAGCGGAAUAUGUCAUGUAGCGGUGAAAUGCUUAGAUAUGACAUAGAACACCAAUUGCGAAGGCAGCUUGCUACAGGGAUAUUGACACUGAGGCACGAAAGCUGGGGAU
rnacentral:rRNA from 1 species